AUUGAACGCUGGCGGCAGGCCUAACACAUGCAAGUCGAGCGGAUGAAGGGAGCUUGCUCCUGGAUUCAGCGGCGGACGGGUGAGUAAUGCCUAGGAAUCUGCCUGGUAGUGGGGGAUAACGUCCGGAAACGGGCGCUAAUACCGCAUACGUCCUGAGGGAGAAAGUGGGGGAUCUUCGGACCUCACGCUCUCAGAUGAGCCUAGGUCGGAUUAGCUAGUUGGUGGGGUAAAGGCCUACCAAGGCGACGAUCCGUAACUGGUCUGAGAGGAUGAUCAGUCACACUGGAACUGAGACACGGUCCAGACUCCUACGGGAGGCAGCAGUGGGGAAUAUUGGACAGUGGGCGAAAGCCUGAUCCAGCCAUGCCGCGUGUGUGAAGAAGGUCUUCGGAUUGUAAAGCACUUUAAGUUGGGAGGAAGGGCAGUAAGUUAAUACCUUGCUGUUUUGACGUUACCAACAGAAUAAGCACCGGCUAACUUCGUG
rnacentral:rRNA from 1 species